UACGGAGGGGGCUAGCGUUGUUCGGAAUUACUGGGCGUAAAGCGCACGUAGGCGGCUUUGUAAGUUAGAGGUGAAAGCCCGGGGCUCAACCCCGGAACUGCCUUUAAGACUGCAUCGCUUGAAUCCAGGAGAGGUGAGUGGAAUUCCGAGUGUAGAGGUGAAAUUCGUAGAUAUUCGGAGGAACACCAGUGGCGAAGGCGGCUCACUGGCCUGGUAUUGACGCUGAGGUGCGAAAGCGUGGGGAGCAAACAGG
rnacentral:rRNA from 1 species